AGAGUUUGAUCUUGGCUCAGGACGAACGCUGGCGGCGUGCCUAAUACAUGCAAGUCGAGCGAGCGGAACUAACAGAUUUACUUCGGUAAUGACGUUAGGAAAGCGAGCGGCGGAUGGGUGAGUAACACGUGGGGAACCUGCCCCAUAGUCUGGGAUACCACUUGGAAACAGGUGCUAAUACCGGAUAAGAAAGCAGAUCGCAUGAUCAGCUUUUAAAAGGCGGCGUAAGCUGUCGCUAUGGGAUGGCCCCGCGGUGCAUUAGCUAGUUGGUAAGGUAAAGGCUUACCAAGGCGAUGAUGCAUAGCCGAGUUGAGAGACUGAUCGGCUACAUUGGGACUGAGACACGGCCCAAACUCCUACGGGAGGCAGCAGUAGGGAAUCUUCCACAAUGGACGCAAGUCUGAUGGAGCAACGCCGCGUGAGUGAAGAAGGUUUUCGGAUCGUAAAGCUCUGUUGUUGGUGAAGAAGGAUAGAGGUAGUAACUGGCCUUUAUUUGACGGUAAUCAACCAGAAAGUCACGGCUAACUACGUGCCAGCAGCCGCGGUAAUACGUAGGUGGCAAGCGUUGUCCGGAUUUAUUGGGCGUAAAGCGAGCGCAGGCGGAAGAAUAAGUCUGAUGUGAAAGCCCUCGGCUUAACCGAGGAACUGCAUCGGAAACUGUUUUUCUUGAGUGCAGAAGAGGAGAGUGGAACUCCAUGUGUAGCGGUGGAAUGCGUAGAUAUAUGGAAGAACACCAGUGGCGAAGGCGGCUCUCUGGUCUGCAACUGACGCUGAGGCUCGAAAGCAUGGGUAGCGAACAGGAUUAGAUACCCUGGUAGUCC
rnacentral:rRNA from 1 species